CUCAAGGAUGCAUGCUAAGAUACGAGUGUAUGCUGCUCAUUCGAAGCAUAGACCACGCGGUUCUCAAAAAUUGGAAUUUAUAGCUUGCUAUCGUUACUUGCUCCCAUAAUAUGCUUCUUUGUGGCAGUCGGCAAAAGGUGAAACAAAUCAGUAAAGAACCUGGAAAUGCCUUUCUAGCUCUGCUCGUGCUCCAAUUUGAAGAAUAAAGGGUUGGUGGAGUUAUUGCAAUCUUCCAUGAUGUUGGAAACGAUUAGGAUGAAAGCUGAUUUGUGCUCCAUGUUCAUUAUCUGGGAUUUUUAACCAAGCAGGUCAUAUUUGGUACUCAUUGAUCUGCAAGAUCAAGUUCUUGGAAUCCUUCCAUUUAGCCAUGGGUAGAGGAUUGCGGUCGUUUAUUGCGUUGUCUCAUUCGCCACAUUCCACUCGACAGUUGUUUAGUUUGUCCCACGAUUUCAUGAUGUCGUUGGCUGAAACAGGUAUGCUGCUUCGUAUUAGAUGAAGGUGGCUUCUUCCAGCAUCUUUGUUCCUAUCGCUUGAGCAACUAGCUGCCAUUUCACGUCGAUCGUUCGUGAAGAAUUUUUAUUUGACACCUUCUGAGUGUCUUUUUACAACUGAUUUCUAGUUUUUCUGUUCAACACUGCAGUGUGAUGGGGUUCUUCGGGUUGUCGUGGAUGGAAGAACGUCUGCUGUUUCAGUUUGUUGUUGCGGAGAAUGGAAUCAUGUGAUCUGUCGAACAGAAACAGCGCGAGUUUUCUCAAUGGUCGUUGGAAAAGAAUACUGUAACAUUACUAACAUUAUCUGAGCUGUACGAAAUAAAUUAAUAUGCAACAGUUU